UGGGGAAUUUUGGACAAUGGGGGAAACCCUGAUCCAGCCAUCCCGCGUGUGCGAUGAAGGCCUUCGGGUUGUAAAGCACUUUUGGCAGGAAAGAAACGUCAUGGGUUAAUACCCCGUGAAACUGACGGUACCUGCAGAAUAAGCACCGGCUAACUACGUGCCAGCAGCCGCGGUAAUACGUAGGGUGCAAGCGUUAAUCGGAAUUACUGGGCGUAAAGCGUGCGCAGGCGGUUCGGAAAGAAAGAUGUGAAAUCCCAGAGCUCAACUUUGGAACUGCAUUUUUAACUACCGGGCUAGAGUGUGUCAGAGGGAGGUGGAAUUCCGCGUGUAGCAGUGAAAUGCGUAGAUAUGCGGAGGAACACCGAUGGCGAAGGCAGCCUCCUGGGAUAACACUGACGCUCAUGCACGAAAACGUGGGGAGCAAACAGG
rnacentral:rRNA from 1 species